UACGAAGGGGGCGAGCGUUGUUCGGAAUUACUGGGCGUAAAGGGCGCGCAGGCGGCUCUGAAAGUCAGAUGUGAAAGCCCCGGGCUUAACCUGGGAACUGCAUUUGAUACUCUAGAGCUUGAGUACGGGAGAGGAGAGUGGAAUUCCCAGUGUAGAGGUGAAAUUCGUAGAUAUUGGGAAGAACACCGGUGGCGAAGGCGGCUCACUGGCCCGAUACUGACGCUGAGGCACGAAAGCGUGGGGAGCAAACAGG
rnacentral:rRNA from 1 species